rnacentral:rRNA from 1 species
AUUGAACGCUGGCGGAAUGCUUUACACAUGCAAGUCGAACGGCAGCACGGACUUCGGUCUGGUGGCGAGUGGCGAACGGGUGAGUAAUAUAUCGGAACGUGCCCAGUCGUGGGGGAUAACGUAGUGAAAUUACGCUAAUACCGCAUACGAUCUAAGGAUGAAGACGGGGGAGUCGCAAGACCUCGCGCGAUUGGAGCGGCCGAUAUCAGAUUAGGUAGUUGGUGAGGUAAAGGCUCACCAAGCCAACGAUCUGUAGCUGGUCUGAGAGGACGACCAGCCACACUGGGACUGAGACACGGCCCAGACUCCUACGGGAGGCAGCAGUGGGGAAGUUUUGGACAAUGGGCGCAAGCCUGAUCCAGCAAUGCCGCGUGCAGGACGAAGGCCUUCGGGUUGUAACUAGCUUUGUUACGGAGGCGAAAAGGCUCUCUCUAAUACAGGGAG